AACGAACGCUGGCGGCAUGCCUAACACAUGCAAGUCGUACGAGACCUUCGGGUCUAGUGGCGCACGGGUGCGUAACGCGUGGGAACCUGCCCUUAGGUUCGGAAUAACUCCCCGAAAGGGGUGCUAAUACCGGAUAAUGUCUUCGGACCAAAGAUUUAUCGCCUUUGGAUGGGCCCGCGUUGGAUUAGCUAGUUGGUAGGGUAAAAGCCUACCAAGGCGACGAUCCAUAGCUGGUCUGAGAGGAUGAUCAGCCACACUGGGACUGAGACACGGCCCAGACUCCUACGGGAGGCAGCAGUGGGGAAUAUUGGACAAUGGGCGAAAGCCUGAUCCAGCAAUGCCGCGUGAGUGAUGAAGGCCUUAGGGUUGUAAGGCUCUUUUACCCGGGAUGAUAAUGACAGUACCGGGAGAAUAAGCUCCGGCUAACUCCGUG
rnacentral:rRNA from 1 species